rnacentral:rRNA from 1 species
UGCCAGCCGCCGCGGUAAUACAGAGGGUGCGAGCGUUAAUCGGAUUUACUGGGCGUAAAGGGCGCGUAGGCGGUCGUAUGAGUGUGAUGUGAAAGCCCCGGGCUUAACCUGGGAAGUGCAUCGCAAACGAUACGACUGGAGUACAUGAGAGGGUGGCGGAAUUUCCAGUGUAGCGGUGAAAUGCGUAGAUAUUGGAAGGAACGUCGAUGGCGAAGGCAGCCACCUGGCAUGAUACUGACGCUGAGGCGCGAAAGCGUGGGGAGCGAACAGGAUUAGAUA